GUGGACGUGGCGGAAUUGGUAUACGCGCCGGUUUUAGGUUCCGGUGGGAAACCGUGCAGGUUCAAGUCCUGUCGUCCAUACCA
rnacentral:tRNA from 1 species